UGGGGAAUCUUGGACAAUGGGCGCAAGCCUGAUCCAGCCAUGCCGCGUGAGUGAAGAAGGCCUUAGGGUUGUAAAGCUCUUUUACCAGGGACGAUAAUGACGGUACCUGGAGAAUAAGCCCCGGCAAACUUCGUGCCAGCAGCCGCGGUAAUACGAAGGGGGCUAGCGUUGUUCGGAAUUACUGGGCGUAAAGCGCACGUAGGCGGGUCGUUAAGUCAGGGGUGAAAUCCCGGAGCUCAACUCCGGAACUGCCUUUGAUACUGGCGAUCUAGAGAUCGAGAGAGGUGAGUGGAAUUCCGAGUGUAGAGGUGAAAUUCGUAGAUAUUCGGAAGAACACCAGUGGCGAAGGCGGCUCACUGGCUCGAUACUGACGCUGAGGUGCGAAAGCGUGGGGAGCAAACAGGAUUAGAUACCCCUGUAGUCCCUGAGCGGGCUGGCAAGGCGCAU
rnacentral:rRNA from 1 species